UGUGGCUCAGUGGUAGAGCACUUGCCUAGAAUGCAUGAGGCACUGGGUUCCCCAGCA
rnacentral:tRNA from 1 species